rnacentral:rRNA from 1 species
UUCCUACGGGGCGCAGCAGUGGGGAAUAUUGGGCAAUGGGCGCAAGCCUGACCCAGCAACGCCGCGUGAAGGAAGAAGGCUUUCGGGUUGUAAACUUCUUUUCUCAGGGACGAAGAAAGUGACGGUACCUGAGGAAUAAGCCACGGCUAACUACGUGCCAGCAGCCGCGGUAAUACGUAGGUGGCAAGCGUUAUCCGGAUUUACUGGGUGUAAAGGGAGCGUAGACGGAAUUGCAAGUCUGAUGUGAAAAUCCGGGGCCCAACCCCGGACCUGCAUUGGAAACUGUAUUUCUAGAGUGUCGGAGG